rnacentral:ncRNA from 1 species
UGACCUUAUAUGGAAACUACUAAGUGAUAACUUUCAAAAUCAGAGAACCCUGGAAUUAAAAAAAUGGGCAAUCCUGAGCCAACUCCUGCUUCCCAAAAGCGAGAAAAAAAGGAUAGGUGCAGAGACUCAAUGGAAGCUAUUCUAACAAAUGGAGUUGACUGCCUUGCGUUGUUAUAAAAAUGCAUCUUCCAAAAAGGAUGAAGAAGAAAGAUAUAUACAUAUGUAUAUGUACUGAAAAGUGAAAUACUAUAUAUAACUGUAUCGAAAAAAUAAUGAAUGAUGACCCGAAUCCAUUUUUUUUUAUAUGAAUAUGAAAAAAUGGAAGAAUUUUUUUGAAUCGAUUCGAAGUUGAAGAAAGAAUCGAAUAUUCAUUUAUGAAAAAAAACGAAAACAUUUACUCCGCGGUCUGAUAGAUCUUUUGAAGAACCGAUCAAUCGGAUGAGAAUGAAGAUAGAGUCCCAUUCUACAUGUCAAUAUCGACAAGAAUGAAAUUUAUAGUAAGAGGAAAAUCCGUCGAUUUUAGAAAUCGUGAGGGUUCAAGUCCCUCUAUCCCCA